rnacentral:rRNA from 1 species
UACGUAGGGGGCUAGCGUUGCUCGGAAUUACUGGGCGUAAAGCGCACGUAGGCGGAUCUUUAAGUCAGGGGUGAAAUCCUGGAGCUCAACUCCAGAACUGCCUUUGAUACUGAGGACCUUGAGUUCGGGAGAGGUGAGUGGAACUGCGAGUGUAGAGGUGAAAUUCGUAGAUAUUCGGAGGAACACCAGUGGCGAAGGCGGCUCGCUGGCUCGAUACUGACGCUGAGGUGCGAAAGCGUGGGGAGCAAACAGG